UACGUAGGGUGCGAGCGUUAAUCGGAAUUACUGGGCGUAAAGCGUGCGCAGGCGGUUCGCCAAGUCAGGUGUGAAAUCCCCGGGCUUAACCUGGGAAUUGCGCUUGAAACUAGCGGGCUUGAGUGUGGCAGAGGGGGGUGGGAAUUCCACGUGUAGCAGUGAAAUGCGUAGAGAUGUGGAGGAACACCGAUGGCGAAGGCAGCCCCCUGGGUCAACACUGACGCUCAUGCACAAAGCGUGGGGAGCAAACAGG
rnacentral:rRNA from 1 species